UGCCGUAGGCUGCCAAGCGGUUGUCGUCGACGGAACCCGGUGCAAGACCGGGACGGUCCCGCCACUGUGACGCCCCGUUCACCCGGGCGAAGUCAGGAACGUCGCGACGACCUGCUCCGG
rnacentral:ncRNA from 1 species